rnacentral:snRNA from 1 species
GUGCUUACUUCAACAGCACAUAUACUGAAAUUGGAACAAGAGGGAGAAGAUUAGCACGGCCCCUGUGCAAGGAUCACGUGGAACUUUGUGAAGCAUUCUGUAUUUUU